GCCACUGUGGCGCAGUGGGUAGCACUACUGCCUCAUAACAAUAAGGUCAUGGGUUCAAAUCUGGCCUGGGGCU